GACGAACGCUGGCGGCGUGCUUAACACAUGCGAGUCGAACGGAAAGGCCCUGCUUGCAGGGUGCUCGAGUGGCGAACGGGUGAGUAACACGUGGGUGAUCUGCCCCUUAUUUUGGGAUAAGCCUGGGAAACUGGGUCUAAUACUGGAUAGGACCAUGCUGUAGGUGGUGUGGUGGAAAGAUUAGUUUCGGUAAGGGAUGAGCUCGCGGCCUAUCAGCUUGUUGGUGGGGUAAUGGCCUACCAAGGCGUCGACGGGUAGCCGGCCUGAGAGGGUGGACGGCCACAUUGGGACUGAGAUACGGCCCAGACUCCUACGGGAGGCAGCAGUGGGGAAUAUUGCACAAUGGGCGCAAGCCGGAUGCAGCGACGCCGCGUGGGGGAUGACGGCCUUCGGGUUGUAAACUCCUUUCAGCCAUGACGAAGCCCUUGUGGUGACGGUAGUGGUAGAAGAAGCACCGGCUAACUACGUG
rnacentral:rRNA from 1 species